GGGAGCGAAUGGGGGCUGGUGUCCCUGACGGGCUUCAAACCCGAUUGGAGGCGUUAACCGUCUUCGGUAGGUUCAAUUCCUACGCGCUCCCGCCA
rnacentral:tRNA from 1 species